rnacentral:lncRNA from 1 species
CCUCCCCAGCCCCCCGGCUUGGGGGUCUCCAGGGCUGCCGGUGGAGCCGGGCGAGGGGGCCCCGAGCCCCCGGGGGGGGUCUCCUCCCCCUGGGCUGGUGCCUGCCCCGGUGCCCCCGCGCGGCCCCAGCCCCCCCAGCCCGCUGCAGGAUCCGGCCCUCCCCAGCCUGGCAGCCCAGGAGCCGCAGCAAGGGACCAUCAGGGAACCCGAGCAGGAGCCAGCCCGGAGCGACUCGGGGCACAACGGCAUCGGGGACCUCGGGCACGGGGGGUGGCCAGCCCCCUGGGAGCAGGACCCCCCGGUGCAGGGGGAUGAGCCCAGUGACACCAUCCUGCCGGAGCCGCUGCACAAAGCCAAGCCAGGUACCGCUGCGCCCCCCCCGGCCCCCCCAUGUGUCCCGAGCCCCCUGGCCGGGCUCAGCCCUCACCCCCUCUUCCCCCCCAGGCUUCGCCCUGCUGCUGGCCCGCGAUGCCCCCCACCAGCAGCUGCCUGCCGGCAGCACCCCCCCAGCCGAGGACGAGGACCUCUCCCCCCAUGCUGUGUAGUGGGGGGGACAGCAGCACGCCGCCCCCCCCAGCACCACCUACUGUGCCC